CUAGCCGUAAACGAUGGGCACUAGGUGUUGCAGGCUUCGACCCCUGCAGUGCUGUUAAGCUAACGCGUUAAGUGCCCCGCCUGGGGAGUACGGCCGCAAGGUUGAAACUCAAAGGAAUUGACGGGGGCCCGCACAAGCGGUGGAGCAUGUGGGUUAAUCGGAUGAUACGCCGAGAACCUUACCAGGGCUUGACAUGGCCUGGCCCGCCUACGAAAGUAGGUUUUCUCAGCAAUGAGACCGGGUCACAGGUGG
rnacentral:rRNA from 1 species